CAAUAGCGUAUAUUAAAGUUGUUGCGGUUAAAAAGCUCGUAGUUGGAUUUCUGCCGAGGACGACCAGUCCGCCCACUGGGUGAGCAUCUGGCUCAGCCUUAGCAUCUUCUUGGAGAACGUAUCUGCACUUCAUUGUGUGGUGCGGUAACCAGGACUUUUACUUUGAGGAAAUUAGAGUGUUUCAAGCAGGCGUGCGCCUUGAAUACAUUAGCAUGGAAUAAUAAGAUAGGACCUUAGUUCUAUUUUGUUGGUUUCUAGAGCUGGGGUAAAGAUUAAUAGGGAUAGUUGGGGGCAUUCGUAUUUAACUGUCAGAGGUGAAGUUCUUGGAUUUGUUAAAGACGGACUACUGCGAAAGCAUUUGCCAAGGAUGUUUUCAUUGA
rnacentral:rRNA from 1 species